rnacentral:tRNA from 1 species
GGACAGGUGCCAGAGUGGUCGAACGGGCACGAUUGGAAAUCGUGUGUGCUAGAAAUAGUACCGAGGGUUCGAAUCCCUCCCUGUCCGCCA